rnacentral:ncRNA from 1 species
CCUUUGGAGAGCUAUACCAAACUAGAGUAGUCUUAUGACCAAAUAGAGUUCUAUGAAGAAGGAA